CCUACGGGUGGCAGCAGUGAGGAAUAUUGGUCAAUGGACGAGAGUCUGAACCAGCCAAGUAGCGUGAAGGAUGACUGCCCUAUGGGUUGUAAACUUCUUUUAUAUGGGAAUAAAAUGUUCCACGUGUGGGAGUUUGUAUGUACCAUAUGAAUAAGGAUCGGCUAACUCCGUGCCAGCAGCCGCGGUAAUACGGAGGAUCCGAGCGUUAUCCGGAUUUAUUGGGUUUAAAGGGAGCGUAGGUGGAUUGUUAAGGCAGUUGUGAAAGUUUGCGGCUCAACCGUAAAAUUGCAGUUGAAACUGGCAGUCUUGAGUACAGUAGAGGUGGGCUGAAUUCGUGGUGUAGCGGUGAAAUGCUUAGAUAUCACGAAGAACUCCGAUUGCGAAGGCAGCUCACUGGACUGCAACUGACACUGAGGCUCGAAAGUGUGGGUAUCAAACAGGAUUAGAUACCCUUGUAGUC
rnacentral:rRNA from 1 species